CUGCGGGACGGGCAGGAUCCCGGCGUGGCGGCGGACCGUCGGUUCUUCUGCGGCCGGCUGCGCGCCCCCCGGGAGCGGUGCUUCCGCUGCCGUGCGCGGCCACAGCGAGCUGCAGGCGACGGUGUGACGGUGUGCAGGGAGGGUGACGAGGUGCGACUCCGGUGGGCGGAGGCCCGGGCGGCCUAGAGGUGGCCCCUCGGAUCCCGCGGAGGACCGGAGGCCGGGAAGGUGAAUCGAGGCGGGCGCCCGCUCGAGGCUGCACCUGCCCGGGUCGCCCCUAAACAGUCCGGCCUAGUGGGCUUGGGCUUUAUGUGGUAGCAAGACGGUUCCCAACAAUUUCAAGUCUACAUCUAUCCUGGUCCAAGUCCAGCAAGAAAAAGAGCCUUCCCAGAAGUUCCUGGAUUCACUAAUUAAGUCAACACAGAUUAUUUACCUGUCCCUUAAAAAAUUACUGCAGGACCUGCUUCAAGUUGGUCAUAAGACUGGCAGAAAGUCAAACCAAACUAAAUGAGUAGUUGUUGGAGUUAACCUCACAGCCUGGAGCUGUAUGGGCCAUGGAAUCGUCUGCUGUUAUUAACAAGCACAAUUCUGAUCAGAAUCACUGCUCUGUGGUCCUGUUCAUCAGAAUCUCAUGUUUGGAAACUGGAUUUGGGUCUGGGUACUUUAAAAAUAGAUAUGAUCAUGGAAUAUAGCCAUUAAAAUUUCUAUUGUAGGAGAAGGUAACAUAGGGUAGUAUUAAUCAUGUAUUUAAAUGUAGAAGUAGAUUCCUGAACAAUAUGUUCAAGGUGAUUCCUAUAUUGUUUAAUAUUAUACAGACAUAGACACCCAAAUAUUAACCUUAAGGAAUGGAACCACCAGUGAUUUGAUUUGAUUUGUUUACUGUUCGGGACAUUCCCUGAUAAAAUGUACUACAUCCAUACUCAAAGUAAGUUUUAAAGAAAUAUAUGUAUCCCACCAGUACCCCAGAGUCAAAAUACGCAAAAGGUGCAACUAAAAAAUUGAUCUAAUUAUGAUUCUCACUGCUCAAAACUAUUGUUGAUUUUUCUCUUGCCUUGCAUACAUCAUUUUUU